rnacentral:lncRNA from 10 species
UUUCCACUUGGUCUGUGCUGUGUUGUCUGCUUCUUACUGUACACGUGGAAGUAAGGAGUGGCAAAGAGAAGGGAACACGGAGCCGCCAUUUGGAACAUGCCUAGCUCCAGCCAGACUCCUUGGAAGAGCAACCUGCACGCACUGCCUCCACUUCUACAAACCGACUUCCACAGCUCCACUGGUUCUGAAAGAACAAGGCCAGCUUGUUCACUGGCAACUCAAUCUGAAGGACAUGCUGCACUGCCCAUUGCUGAACUUCUGUGCAGCAUUUGACACCUGACUACUCUCCCUUGAAAUGCUCACCUCCUUCGGUGUAUCUGGGCCUUUCUGGUUUUCCUUCCACCUCCCUGGCCAGUCUAUCCUUUGAAUGUGACUUUCCCUCAGGUUUUGCCCACUGGAUUCAUCUUCUUACUUUCUGCAGGAUAACCUCCACUCUUCUCCUGCUUCAGCUAUCCCCUUGCUGGGAAUGAUCUACACAUCCCUAUCUAAGUUGAUUUACCCCCUUGCUGGCCAUUAUUUACACAUCCCUAUCUAAGUCCAAAUCCUGGUAUCCAGCUGCCUCCUGGAUGUUUCCACUUGGAUGUGUCUCAGGCCCCUUGCACUUGAACUUGUAUAAAGGAAUUGGCCUCAUCUCCUUCUGCAAAUCUGCUCUUCCUCUGUGUUCUCAGUUUCAAUGGACCACCUUCCACCCAGGACCCCAGCCCAGAUGGUGGGCGUCAGUCACGAUGCCCUCUCUCCCUCUUCCUCGCAUUCCGUCAAAGGCCACUUCCUGUUAAGAGUAGAGCCUGGAUGUUCCAAACCAACUCCUCCACUAGGCACGGCGCUUAGGGUUCAUGACACAUGUAGGGGCUCAUGAAAAAGUUUUCAUUUCUUUUAAAAUUAGAAGAAUAAAAUUAACAUAACCUGGC